rnacentral:rRNA from 1 species
UACGGAAGGCAGCAGUGGGGAAUAUUGCACAAUGGGCGAAAGCCUGAUGCAGCUAUGCCGCGUGUAUGAAGAAGGCCUUAGGGUUGUAAAGUACUUUCAUCGGGGAGGAAAAACAAAACUAAUAAUUUUAUUUCUUGACGUUACCCGAAAAAGAAGCACCGGCUAACUCCGUGCCAGCAGCCGCGGUAAUACGGAGGGUGCUAGCGUUAAUCAGAAUUACUGGGCGUAAAGAGCACGUAGGUGGUUUUUUUAAGUCAGAUGUGAAAUCCCUGGGCUUAACCUAGGAACUGCAUUUUGAAACUGAAAUACUAGAGUAUCGUAGAGGGAGGUAGAAUUCUAGGUGUAGCGGUGAAAUGCGUAGAUAUCUGGAGGAAUACCUGUGGCGAAAAGCGGCCUCCUAAACGAAUACUGACACUGAGGUGCGAAAAGCGUGGGGAGCAAAACAGGGAUUAAAUACC